UAAAGGACAGUUUUAAUAUUUAGUGCUUCUAAACCAGAAGAGUAGAAGAAAAAAAAGGAAAAUGCUAAUUUGGAAAGUCACAGCCAGAUAUUGGAGUAAAUUAAAAAUUCAGGAUCCAGUCCAGAUUGUAGGAAAGGAGCAGUUUGCCUCUCUCUGUGAUUACCAAACCAGAGUGAAAGCCUUCAACUACGGACCACUGCAAUUUCCACCAUAACAGGCAACCCAGCAAUUAGAACUGUUUGUUACAGUGACAGCAGAGAGAACCAUUUUCAAGCAACAAGGCACAGGAGCAGGAGCUGGAGGAAGAGAGAGCCUGUUCAUUUGAAGGGGACUAACGCCACACAGCAGCUAAUCCUGGAAUGGCAGGCAGUUUUGGGAACUGCCUAUCCUGCAAAGGCUGAGAUAUUCACAGACAUUCUUGAACUUUUGGAAAUGGUCUAAUUCUGCUUUUUUCUGACCAGGAAUACAAUUGGGUCAUAAAAUUUGGCGUUUGGGAAGAGACAAAGGUUUAUCUUUAGUCCAGUGCAUAAUUUAAUUUCUUACUUCAAUAUUAAAAAUGAAAACAUAAAGGUAGGCACUUUCUUUUCAAAUUCUGGAUUUUAGUGAGUAUUUCGGUGCUCAGAAAACAUCUCACAAUUGAAACUUUGCAAACAGAGUCAUGUUUGUUUACAACAAAAGUACUUGAAAUAAAACUACAGCAUGUUAUUCUGUUGCCACUUUGUCAUUUAUUCUCAUUUUCAUAUGUUUUAAAUUAUGUUACAAAUUUAUUGAUAGCUUGGGAGAAAAUGCCAAUUUUGAUAUCUUUUUUCUUUCUUUUUCUUGUUAUUAUUUUUCUUUUCUUCCCCUGCUCCUUUCUUUCUUUUUAAUACACUCUUCUUUUGUUACCAUUGCAUUUAGUCCUUGAUAUAAGCAAUGACAAACUACCUAUCUCCAGUACAUGUCAGGUUAUCUUUGGAUUUUAUUUCUCCCUGUCUCAAAUGAAGC
rnacentral:lncRNA from 1 species